CAAUUAAGGGGUGAUUUAUAUGUUCAUUUUUAUUCUUUUCUGUAUUUCCCACAUUUUCAAAAGCAUUAAUUUUAUAAUGGGAGAAAAGUGUUUUUCCUUUUCAAUGCCAACUUUCUAAAACACCACUCUUACCACGUUGGUGAUAAUACUCUGCUGUCCCCUCAACAUGCUCAGCUGCAAUCCCAGUACUGAAAUCCCAGGGUGUGGUACCAAGGCCCCGGGCCGGUCUGGCUCCUGCUGCUGAGCGCUGCUCCCUCAGGCACCCUGACCAACAGCCGCAUGGAAACGAUGUUCCUCAGACAUGCUAAGCCCCAGCGUUUCCAGGCCCUGCCCAGCCCUCAGCUCCUCCUGAGAUCCAGCUCGGGUGUCAUCCCACUAUGGCCCCCAGCCAGCAUGCAGAACCCUGGAUGCCCUCACACUCUAGAAUGGCCUGCAUUAUUUGUCUCCCCUCACUGGUCUCUAAGCAUCUCUAAGCAUCAAGGAGCAGAGGAUCAGAAUUCCUUCUGCUGCCCCAGGAAUAAAGGUUUCCUACAACCAAUCAGAAGCACCCUCCUCCUCCUGGUCUCACCACCCCCAGAUCAGGCCUGGAUUCCAGCUGACAUGCUUUUCUCCUGGUCCCAUCUUAAUGAUCAGGGUUCCACAUUUGAGUCAUGACCUGGCCAAGCUCUCCAUUAAACUCUCAACCUACUCCCUGAAACCUACCCAGCACAAAACAACAGAGGCCCCAGCCUGCAUCAAUACCGGCUCAGAAGAAGGGAGAUGGUGUCUGUGCUUCCCAACUUCUGCUGGCACAAACUCCCUUCCCUACCUCUCCCUGGGAGAGCUCUGGAAGACUCCAACAAAGAGCUCCAGCUUGUAUCAACACCCUGACGGGAAAAGACAGAGGUCACUGUGAACCACCAAGCAAACAGUCCUACAGUAAGGUGGGUCCUGCCUGGCAUGUGCACAGGGGUUCCAGGGUGCAGACCUCUGCAACUGCUCCCUCCUGCUAUAUCUGUGUCUAUACCUGGUGCCCACUCAUGUCUUUGUGCUUUGCAACGUAACUACAUUUGUUCACACAUCUGGCUUCAUCUGGCCUGUGUGACUAUUGAAGGAGAAACUGCAUGGUAAUGAAGAUGUGCCAUUUUGCUUGGUCCCUGUAGCAAAGGAAGUACUUCUCAGAGGCUUGUGAAACCCAGGUCCCUCAACUGGACACUACACAGAUUCAUUAAUAUGUCUUAAAACCAAAUUAACACUUUCAGCAACUACAAAGUAUUAGUGCUCCCUGUAUACUUUUUUACACUGACAUUUCCAGGGUUCCUUCGCGUAAGCUACUAUCAAAUAAGCUCUUUCNNNNNNNNNNNNUCAAAAAUCCCUAUCCUUACUUAAAGGACCUUCCUGAACUUAAAGAAGUGCUUUUUGUGCUACCCCAUGACAGGCUGGGGAUUUCAAUUCAUCACCAUAAAUAAUGAGCUGUAAUAAGUCCAGUGAGUGAUCCAUGAAGAUCAGGCUGAUUUUGAAUCCUGAUUUUUCUUAUCUAAUGAAUCUGCUGUCAGAGAUGUUGCUACAUUAAAUUCCCGCUGCCCACCACAGACCCAUCCACUGCCUUGGCUCAGAUUAGCACCAGAUAAAACUCAACCUCUCCUCCAAAAGUCAGCGAGCAGAACCUCCGCUUUUCAGCACCAGCAGGGCCGUCCCUAGGACACCCAUCAGACCUCACUGCCCCACUCAGAGACUCUGGACAUCUGUGCUUGCUGGCUACACUUGCUCACCCAUGCUUCUCUGUGGACACACGGCUCCUGCCCCAGUGGACUACACCAGUGUCUCCUCUGCCAGGACCCAAGCCCUGCUCAGACCCCUGCACCCACAUGGUGCUCAAGGAGCCAAUCAACACUCCUGCCCCACUUUCAUCACCUCUUUCUCCCCUACUCCAGGGCCACUGGACAGACCUGGGAACAGAAAACCACACCCAAGUCUGCUACAAACGUAUGCUCUAAACCUUUAGCUCAGACAUGCAACUUCCCAGCAAGAACAAUAAAAAUGAUCGAUUCAGACUUCAUUUUGGCUUGUAAAAAUAAGACCUCACUCUCCAGAUCCUCUCCACUCGUGUUCCAGCUCUCUACCCUCAAUCUCCUCAGCAUGCACAUCACCUGGGGCUCUACUCCCGGUCACCUGCUCUCUCCCUACCUUGCUGAGAGAAUUCCCUUCAGCUGUGCCAUCCCCAAGUCCCUGUGUCUGAACAGCCUAAAUCCGCCAGGACUCCAAAUUUGACCCACGUCAUCAAUGAGGCUCUCCUCUUUCCACCGAUGACACUGCCCCCUCCCCAGGGGUCCAUCUGCAGGUGAGGCAGAGCUCUGGCUCCUGGUCCCCACGAGAAGGCAGGCACAAGGGACGUGGCACAGACCUGCACAGACCUCCCACACCACUGGACCAGUGAGUCACCUCCACCGCUAGGUUCCGUGUUACGUUGGCCAACCUGGUCCCAAAAUCUUCAUCUCAAGUCCAGAAGACUGUGACGCUACACAGUGUCAAAAUUCUGACUUCUACCCUGAACUCUCUGACACACUCACAGCUCCCAGGCCAGUUUUAGUACAAUGAUCGCAAAUGACUUUGAUCCUGUAAACAUCUAUAAUCCAGAACUAAAUACAUAAGAAAAGAAAGUAAAGCAGCAUCGUGCUUCACCAAGUCCAAAGCCAUCCACCAGGUUCCACGCCUCUCCACAGUCUCCACCCACCUCCCUCCCUGACCAGGUCUUCCUUCUUCACCAGACACACAGCCUAGCUUCUGACGCUGGCUCCUCAUAGCUGGCCUCCUGCAUGUGCCCAACCUCCCCUUCAGCCCUUCUCAGUGUGCGAUGCUCUAGUCCCCUUGUACUCCGAAUGUGCUGUCUUCCAGGCUCGCUGUCAAGGCCCACCUUGCCUUGGGUCAUGCAGAUGCUCUCCUUUCUAGCUCAUGUGCUCACCUGUGCCCCCUGAGCUAGAACAUCACACAGAAUGUGUCACCACUAACAGGUAUUCAAAAGCAUUAGUACAGCCUUUGCUGAACAUAACCAUUCAUCUAUUCUUUCUGAAAGUGUUCUCAAGCUCUAAACCCAGUGUUCAUAUAAUCAUCUUACACUCACACACGUUUGGGUUUCUGAUUUCCCCAAGUAUGUUAAACUAUGUCCUGCAACCCCCAUCCCUGACAAAGGGCCCCUGGG
rnacentral:lncRNA from 1 species